rnacentral:RNase_P_RNA from 1 species
GCGGAUGGCCGGAUGACCGCGGCCCCGGACUUGAUCCGGGGGCGAGGAAAGUCCGGACUCCAUGAGGCAAGGGUGCCGGGUAACGCCCGGCGGGGGCGACCCCAGGGAAAGCGCCACAGAGAAGAGACAGCCCCGGUUCGCCGGGGUGAUGGUGAAACGGUGGGGCAAGAGCCCACCGCGGGACGGGCAACCGGACCGGCACGGCAAGCCCCACCCGGAGCAAUGCCGAAUAGGGGCCUCGCGCGGGGCUGGUCCUGAAAGGGAUACCGCCGCAGGGAUGCUUCAGCCCGAGAGGCCCGGGUUGGCAGCUGGACCCCCUCCGCAAGGCGGGGGCUAGAGGAAUGGUCAUCCAUGGCGGGCAACCGCCGGGACAGAAUCCGGCUUACAGGCCAUCCGCGCGU